AAAAAUAAGCUAAAUAAGCUAAAGGGUUCAUACCCCUCAAAUAAAGGUCCCAACCCUUUUUUUUUAA
rnacentral:tRNA from 1 species